AUUGAACGCUGGCGGCAGGCCUAACACAUGCAAGUCGAGCGGAUGAGAAGAGCUUGCUCUUCGAUUCAGCGGCGGACGGGUGAGUAAUGCCUAGGAAUCUGCCUAGUAGUGGGGGACAACGUUUCGAAAGGAACGCUAAUACCGCAUACGUCCUACGGGAGAAAGUGGGGGAUCUUCGGACCUCACGCUAUUAGAUGAGCAUAGGUCGGAUUAGCUAGUUGGUAGGGUAAAGGCCUACCAAGGCGACGAUCCGUAACUGGUCUGAGAGGAUGAUCAGUCACACUGGAACUGAGACACGGUCCAGACUCCUACGGGAGGCAGCAGUGGGGAAUAUUGGACAAUGGGCGAAAGCCUGAUCCAGCCAUGCCGCGUGUGUGAAGAAGGCCUUCGGGUCGUAAAGCACUUUAAGUUGGGAGGAAGGGCUCAUAGCGAAUACCUGUGAGUUUUGACGUUACCAACAGAAUAAGCACCGGCUAACUUCGUGCCAGCAGCCGCCGUAA
rnacentral:rRNA from 1 species